GACGAACGCUGGCGGCGUGCCUAACACAUGCAAGUCGAACGGAGUGGCGAACGGGUGAGUAACAUGUGGGUGAUCUGCCUUGCACUCUGGGAUAAGCUUGGGAAACUGGGUCUAAUACCGGAUAGUGCAAGAUGAGCUCGCGGCCUAUCAGCUUGUUGGUGGGGUGAUGGCCUACCAAGGCGUCGACGGGUAGCCGGCCUGGGAGGGUGUACGGCCACACUGGGACUUAGAUGCGGCCCAGACUCCGAAGGGAGGCAGCAGGGCGGAAUCUUGCAGAAUGGGCGGAGGCCGUAUGCAGCGACACCGCGUGGGGGAUGACGGCCUUAGGGUUGUAAACGCCUUUCGACAGGGACGCGGUACCUGUAUAAGAAGCACCGGCUAACUACGUGCCAGCAGCCGCGGUAAUUC
rnacentral:rRNA from 1 species